GAAAAUUUCCCUGAAACACUAAAACCCUUUCACAAUAUUAUAGAAGUUAAACAUAAUAUAGCCCUUCUGCUCCAUAUUGUGUGUACCAAAAAAAAUAGAUUUUUUUCCUCUGUGCUACAGCAACUGUUAUGCAACUGCCCCAGUUAUUUUGACAUCUAGUAGUUGAUGUGAAAGUAUAUGGUUUCUUUCUAGAACUGGUAAAUGCAGUGGCAUGUUGCAAGCCAAAGAAGUUUUACAGAAAUCAUGUGAAGAAGCAUUUGGACUGUUUUCACAGUAUUUAUUGAGAUUAUAUCGCAUAGUUUCCCUGUUUUCUUUUUUUUUGUUUAAUUAUGAGCCAGCAGGGACAUACUAAGAAAUCUCUUCAAAGUCAAAAUCCAGGCUGAUAAAUGGAUUACAACUGGCAGAUGUCUCUCUACUGGUCAUCUUUUAGUUUCCUAUCAGAAAAGUCACCGAAGCUCCUCUCUCGUUCCAUCUUCCCAUUUGCCUGCGUUUUGUCCCUGGUACGGCUGCAGGUAAUCGUGGUCAUGGUACCUGACUGUAUACAACGAUCAAACUGCCUUUCCUCACCAUUUUCCUUGAUGUGA
rnacentral:lncRNA from 1 species